rnacentral:rRNA from 1 species
AGCUGCAGUCGAGAUCUUUCGCAAUGGGCGCAAGCCUGACGAAGCGACGCCGUGUGAGUGAAGAAGGCCUUCGGGUUGUAAAGCUCUUUCGCUAGGGAACAAGAGAGAUGGGACAAUACCCCAUUGAUUUGAUGGUACUUGGUAAAGAAGCACCGGCUAACUCC